GGAAGCUUUGGAUUGUCUUGUAGCGGAAUGGAUGCUAUAGCGACACGUUCAUUUUCCUUUUGUGAGGCAGUCUAUAUGGCUCCUUGCGUUUCCAAAAUCAACUCUGUGUGAUCCCCUUGUUUGCACCAUUCAAUUACCAACCGCCCCAGGCUGUUAACCACAAAUUGGUUAUUAGUUCAAGUGUUCCUUGUGUGACCACUGUUCGUAUAACCGAAC